UACGUAGGGUGCAAGCGUUGUCCGGAAUUAUUGGGCGUAAAGAGCGUGUAGGCGGCCCGGUAAGUCCGCUGUGAAAGUCCAGGGCUCAACCCUGGAAUGCCGGUGGAAACUGUCGGGCUAGAGUCCGGAAGAGGCGAGUGGAAUUCCUGGUGUAGCGGUGAAAUGCGCAGAUAUCAGGAGGAACACCAAUGGCGAAGGCAGCUCGCUGGGACGGUACUGACGCUGAGACGCGAAAGCGUGGGGAGCAAACAGG
rnacentral:rRNA from 1 species